rnacentral:rRNA from 1 species
UACGGGGGGGGCAAGCGUUGUUCGGAAUUACUGGGCGUAAAGGGUCCGUAGGUGGUUCGGUAAGUCGGAUGUGAAAUCUCCAGGCUCAACCUGGAGGGGUCAUUCGAUACUGCCGUGACUAGAGGUCGGUAGGGGAGUGUGGAAUUCCUGGUGGAGCGGUGAAAUGCGCAGAUAUCAGGAGGAACACCCGUAGCGAAGGCGGCACUCUGGGCCGAUACUGACACUGAGGAGCGAAAGCGUGGGGAGCGAACAGG